AACGCCUUUUCUGGAAACUAUGCUAUUUGAAGAGGGUAUGAAUAUGAAACCAAUGAAGAUAAAUUGUCUGUUGUUUCUUGUACGGACUCUUUUCAGAAGAAAUAUAGAUUUUUAUGAAGUUUUUUAUAAUUAUUGAUUUUGCCACCAUUUUGGUUGCUAAGCGUAUCUAGGAAAAACGUCA